rnacentral:ncRNA from 1 species
GUGAGCUGCAUGCGGGGAGACCCGCAUGUACGGUUUUAGGGGAUCUGGUAAAAAAAACGGCUGGUGCCCACCCGAC